UACGUAGGCAGCGAGCGUUGUUCGGAGUUACUGGGCGUAAAGAGUGUGUAGGUGGUGCUCCAAGUCUGUUGUGAAAUCUCCCGGCUUAACUGGGAGGGUGCGGCGGAAACUGGAAUGCUUGAGGAUGGGAGAGGAAAGCGGAAUUCCUGGUGUAGCGGUGAAAUGCGUAGAUAUCAGGAGGAACACCCGUGGUGUAGACAGCUUUCUGGACCAUUUCUGACACUGAGACACGAAAGCGUGGGUAGCAAACAGG
rnacentral:rRNA from 1 species